rnacentral:rRNA from 1 species
GUUUCUGACCUAUCAACUCGAGACGGCGGGGUAGAGGCCCGCCGCGGUAACGACGGGUAACGGGGAAUCAGGGUUCGAUUCCGGAGAGGGAGCCCGAGAAACGGCUACCACUUCCAAGGAAGGCAGCAGGCGCGCAACUUACCCUAAUCUCGAUUCGAGGAGGUAGUGACAAGAAAUACCGAUGCGGGACCCUACGGGUGCCGCGUUCGGAAUGAGUACGAUUCGAACCACCUAACGAGGAACGAUCGGAGGGCAAGUCUGGUGCCAGCAGCCGCGGUAAUUCCAGCUCCAAUAGCGUACGUUAAAGUUGCUGCAGUUAAAAAGCUCGUAGUUGAACGUUCGGGUUCCGCGGGACGGGGCCGCCCCGCGAGGGACGGCGCCGCCCCGGGGCUCGUGAUAUCUCAUCUCGCCGCCCGUCGCGAGGCGGACGGAGGGAUGGAUGAGGUUACCUGGAAAAAAUCGGGG